rnacentral:rRNA from 1 species
ACAUGCCUACAUCAUAGUGUUAAUGCACCAAAUCCCAUUAGAACUCUGCAGUUAAGCAUGCUUAGGCUAGAGUAGUACUGGGAUGGGUGAUCGCCCAUGAAUUCCUAGUGUUUUACAUGCC